rnacentral:rRNA from 1 species
CAGUCGCCGCGGUAAUACGAAGGGUGCAAGCGUUAAUCGGAAUUACUGGGCGUAAAGCGUGCGUAGGCGGUGAGUUAAGUCUGCUGUGAAAUCCCCGGGCUCAACCUGGGAAUGGCAGUGGAUACUGGCUCGCUAGAGUGUGUCAGAGGAUGGUGGAAUUCCCGGUGUAGCGGUGAAAUGCGUAGAGAUCGGGAGGAACAUCAGUGGCGAAGGCGGCCAUCUGGGACAACGCUGACGCUGAGGCACGAAAGCGUGGGGAGCAAACAGGAUUAGAUACCCCAGUAGUCCCUGUCUCUUAUAC